rnacentral:lncRNA from 1 species
AACUACCUUUAGAUGCUGUGACUCAUUAGCUGGCCCGAGAAAAACAAGUCAGAAGACAAUGAAAAAAGAGUUAGUGCCUAUAUGUGAAGAACUGUCGGGGUGGCCUAUUCAAAGGAAGAAAGCUUGGUGAAUUGGAAAAACGGAGCACCCAUAUGAGACACCAGGAAUAAAAGGGCACAGAGGAAAGAUCAUGUGAAGACACAGGAAGAAGGAGCCAUCUCUGGUGGAGGCCACAGAUAUGGAACCCACUCAUUCAGAGGGCCAACUACCAUUGAGCCUUCAGUCUGUCCAGAAAGGAGCUGGGAAGUUGAGGAUGAAGCCAUCAGCUGGUGUAAUGUCUGGGAAAGGCUUGAUCUCUGCUUCAGGAUGAUGCCUUGUUUCUCUGUCCUCACAUGGAACAAAGUAGGAGGACAAAGAAGUUGUGUCCCCCAUUGGAAAAGGGACAAGAAGACCAAAAAAGACUAAGAGAUCCCAUUUAAUGUCUUUUAUAAGAGCAUUAAUUCCAUGCACAAAGGCAAAGGCCUCAAGGCCUAAUCAUGUCCCAAGGGACCCACCUCUUAAUAUCAUCCACUUGGGGGAGCUGAAUUCCUAUAGAUGCAUUUUGGAAGAACACAGCCAUGCCAACUCCAGUACCUAACAACAUACAAGAAUGAGGAGAGUGGUUCUAAUUUCUGAUUUCCACUAGUUGAUAUAAAUGUGAAGGAUUCCUUAACUAUGAGAAAGGAGAGAAAUAGAUUCAGAAGGAUAAAGCCCAUGUUAAAAACAUU